ACCUCUUCCGCCCCUUCAAGCAUCUGGGACUGUCCCACUCCUCCCCUGGGCGGAGCCGACCCCACACAACCUGGAUUCCCAACACCUCCCCUUCCUCUGACCUUCAGCCCCCACCCCCUCCGGGAAACAGGAGACUCUGAUGAUGGGGACAGGGAUGGCAGCCUACCCCGUGGCAUCGCGGGAGUCGAUUUACCACACCAGGCGCAUUGGGGUCCAGCCGUCCCCAGCGCGCAUAUCAGAGGUAGUCGGACUUUUCCCGCUGGUGCCCGGCCUCAGCCAGGACAUCAUAUCAAUGUAUUUCUCCUGAACUGUAAGAGAUGCAACUGAACGUGUGAGAGGUCAGGCCAAGAGGCUGAGAGGCAGCAAGAUAAAUGCCCAGGAAACAAGUUCCUUUUGAUGGCAGUAUGGCUCCAAAAAUGCCCACCCAGGCCCACUCUCUCUGCCCUUUGCUGAGGAGAAAACAGCAACUGCACUCCAAACAUGGCCAAUCACCAUCUCGGCCUCUUUGGGCGAGCUCUGGCCCACAGCUAGGGAGGAUGCUGGAGCCCACAGGGAAGAGAUGAAGAGUGGGCACACAGUAGAAUCUGAGCCCACCUUCUGCCAUGUAUGAGACAUUUCCACUUGGGCAUUCUCACGGGUCACUCCAAGGCCAGCUUGACAACAAGGUGUUUAGGUCAAAGGUGAAUAUGUUUGAAUUGCAGACUCUGUGGACACAGGCAUAAAAGGACACAGGUAUUUACAUGAGUCUGUCUCUUUAUUGCAGUGGAAAACAGGACCAUGUAUUCUUUCGGACCUUUUCUAAUAUUACUGCUCUGAAGAAGAUGGUUCUAAGGAUUCAAGCCUCAGAGGCUCAUCUCCUUAUGCUUGCUACAUUAUGUCCCACCCGAAGGAAACAAAAAAUUCCACCUGUUACCUUGAAAGGGUCCUCUAGGUUUCUUUUCUCUCUUGAUUUCCACGGAGUGGGCUGAGCUGCACCACCAUGGACAUGCAUCCCUGUUCAUUUGUCAGCUUUUCUCUACAUUCUCUAAAGUGCUAGAACUCACCUAACAUGGAAAAGGGCCUGGUCCUCUGCAUUACCAGAUCCCUUACUGCAAAGAAACAUGUCCUCCAACCUCUAGUGAAGCACAACACAUUGGACAUGGCCAUAUUCUACUCUGCCGACACAUUUACAUAGAGGCAGGGGUAUGUCCUGGUGAAUGAGCAAGGGCCAAGCGUCAUUCGCUACAUUUGCCUGAACGCACCCCAGAAGUUCUUUCUGGCACCCAGCAGGAUCUCCUGAGGCCAAGCAUGAUGGGUCUGUCCUUCUGUGUCAUCUUAGCUUCUGGAAUUUCAGCAGGAUUGAAACCACCCUCUUCCUAACCAGUUUAUACCCAGAGAGUCUCCAUUUUGAAACGCUUGCCACAGAACACGUUGGUCCACUUCUGAUUACAGGGCAAGGGUCUGCACACCCUCAAAGCACAGGCUGAGUCAGCAGAAGGCUUCCAAGCAAAAAUGACCAUCAUGAAGAAUAGCCAACCUCCAAGGGAAGCUGGGACAUAGAAACAAGAGAGGGUCAUGGGGGUGGGGGGGAUGGGACACAGUGUCUUAAGGUAGCUGGACCUUGCCUUACAUCCACCUUGUAAACGACAGUCUGGGUACAGGCCCCACAGGAUCAUGGCCCAUUUUCUUCCCUAGGAUGUAGGAACACCCCAGCGCCCUCCACCACCAAUGCCAAUGGUUGCAGAACUCCAGUGCUAGGAGUGAUCCCCUUCUCAAUGAUGGGCACUGCAGCCAAGGGAGCCUCCUGGGGCUGAGGACCAAGGUAGGCUGACAGGAUUCUUGUUCCCAAGGUUAAGGGCACCAGGCAAACUGCCCAUGCCCAGAGCCCAUGCUCCUUGGCUGAGGCAUCUGCUAGUCCCACACAGACAUGGCCACCACCAGGCUCCCAAGCCCAUGGCUUCCUGUAUAGGACCCACCAGGCAUCCUGGAUGUCCAAUUCACCCUGGCCUAUCUUAGGGGCCUCCACAGCCCAAACUGGACACAGGCCCCACUUCCCAUAGACCUCCAGAGAACUUAGAUCUGUCCAGGUACCAACCCUAGUCCUGGCUGAUCCUCUACAGCACUCUCAAGCCACUCCUCCCCAGGCAAGCACAGGGAAGGAUGUGCGGGAUUGCCACACGAGUUCCUCUUGAUGGCAGUAUUGCCCCAGAAAUGCCCAGCUGCCCUUUCCCCAUCCACUCCCUCCGCCCUUUGCUGAGGAAAAAAACACUAACCAUACUCCAAACAUGGCCCAUCACCACUUUGGCCAUUUUGGGCAAACUCUGGCCUACAUGCAGGGCUCCAUUUAGCAGUCUGGCCUCUGCAGGAUCCUCUUAACCUGCCUUCAUGACAAAGAAACAGCCCCCUUUAGCUGUCCUAUGAAUGGACUCGAACUUACGGCAUCCCUAAUCCUACCUUUAGCAUGGGAGGAUGGUGGAAUCCUCAGAGAAGAGAUGGAGACUGGGCACACAGUAGGAUCCAAGCCUACCCUUUGCCCUCUACGAGACAUUUCCACUUGGGUGUUGUCAUGGUUCACUCCAAGAGCAGCUUGACCAUGAGAUCAAAGGUGACCAGCAUCCCACAGGGCACUAGGGUGAACUAAAGAGUAAGGUGAACGUACAAUUUCAGGACAGUGAGAAUGAUGCCCCAACUCUUCUCACAUGCCAGUCCUGGUGGGUCCAGGCAGGGAUAAGUCAGAUGGGAGGGGAGCCAGGUGCCAUCCCAAACACAUGUGUCCUCCUCACACCUGGUCAAUCUCAAUCUCUGGACAGCUUCCCUCAGAAGGUUUGAGGUGGAAAACACACAGAGCUGUGCAUACUGUUGAGAACUAUUGUGAGUCAUGGGGUGCGGAAGAUGGGUGUGAAAUGAAAAUAAAUCUUGGGGCCCUGAAAAGUCAACCUGGGAAUUGCUUAGGGGAAACCUGCCUUCCAUUCUAUUCAAAGUCAUCCCUCAAGGUUCACUUGAGACAAAUGUGUAUUUGAGUGCUUCCUCUCCCCUAUCAUUUAUGUAAAAAUGCAGAUUCUCUGAAUUAGACUAAAUUGUAAGUGGAAAACUUACCAAGGGCUCAAAAGAAUGCAACCUUUUGUUGCUUAUCUACUUCUAACCUGGAAACCCCACUUGUUGUCUCACCUUACUGGACCAAACCAAUGUUCAUGUUACACAUACUGAUGGAUGUCUCAUGUCUCUGUAAGCUGUCUAAAUGCAAAUUAUACCCCUGACCACAUUGGGCCCAUGUCUCAGGACUUCCUGAGGCUGUGUCAUGGACACAUUCUUAACUUUGGCAAAAUGAACUUUGUAGAUUGGUUCAGACCUGUCUCAGAUAUUUUGUGUUCACCAAGGCAAGACCCAAGUAUUACUAUAUUCCUCCCCAUACAUACUCUAACAGAAAUGCUAUGGCAAUGAUGUUGCAGCAGCUAAGCAUGAGAAUACCCCCUAACAUAUGCUACAGAAACACAGUGACCAUGAGCACUACUCUCAGUAUGAGACAGAGGAAACAGAAGAAAGACUACACCCAAACUUCUAUCUCCCUGGUCCCUUUCGGGCUCCUUGACAACCACACACUUCUCUUUUGGAUUUUCCAUUGUUAUGUGCACUCUGAAUCUAGAGACCCCCAAACAGGCUUUGUCUGAGCAACAUGGCUGUUUAUUCACCCAGGUGCGGGUGGGCUGAGUCCAAAAAGAGUCAGUGAAGGGCAGUGGGAUAGGAGUUGGUGUUAUAGGUUUGGGGUAGGCAAUGGAAAGUUACAGAAGUUACAGUUCAGGGUGGUUUUUGCAAGCUGGGAGGUGUCGCUGGGGUUGGGGGGUGUUGCUGGAGAUGGGGGUGUCACAAGGUCCAAGGUCCAGUAUCACAAGAUUGGCUAAUCAGUUAAACCAGACAAUGGUGAAAUAUCGCAAGGUCAGUUAGUUGGGCACUGCAGGAAAUAGCUUGUCUUUUUUUAUUAUUGCAUUUUAGGUUUUGGGGUACAUGUGCAGAACAUGCAAGAUAGUUGCAUAGGUACACAUGUGGCAGUGUGAUUUGCUGCCUUCCUCCCCUUCACCCACAUCUGGCAUUUCUCCCCAUGCUAUCCCUCCCCAGCUCCCCCCCACACUGUCCCUCCCCUAUUCCCCUGAAUACACCCCAGUGUGCAGUGCUCCCCUCCUAUGUCCAUAUGUUCUCAUUGUUCAUCACCCGCCUAUGAGUGAGAACAUGCGGUAUUUCAUUUUCUGUUCUUGUGUCAGUUUGCUGAGAAUGAUGUUCUCCAGAUUCAUCCAUGUCCCUACAAAGGACACGAACUCAUCGUUUUUGAUGACUGCAUAAUAUUCCAUGGUGUAUAUGUGCCACAUUUUCCCUGUCCAGUCUAUGGGCAUUUGGGUUGAUUCCAGGUCUUUGCUAUUGUAAACAGUGCUGCAAUGAACAUUCGUGUGCAUGUGUCCUUAUAGUAGAAUGAUUUAUAGUCCUUUGGAUAUAUACCCAGUAAUGAGAUUGCUGGGUCAAAUGGAAUUUCUAUUUCUAAGGCCUUGAGGAAUCGCCACACUGUCUUCCACAAUGGUUCAACUAAUUUACACUCUCACCAGCAGUGUAAAAGUGUUCCUAUUUCUCCACAUCCUCUCUAGCACCUGUUGUCUCCAGAUUUUUUAAUGAUCGCCAUUCUAACUGGCAUGAGAUGGUAUCUCGAUGUUGUUUUGAUUUGCAUUUCUCUAAUGACCAGUGAUGAUGAGCAUUUUUUCAUAUGUUUGUUGGCCUCAUGUAUCUCUCUCUUGUAAAGUGUCUAUUCAUAUCCUUUGCCCAUUUUUGAAUGGGCUUUUUUUUUCUUGAAAAUCUGUUUUAGUUCUUUGUAAAUUCUGGAUGUCAGCCCUUUGUCAGAUGGGUAAACUGCAAAAAUUUUUUCCCAUUCUGUUGGUUGCCGAUUCACUCUAAUGACUGUUUCUUUUGCUGUGCAGAAGCUGUGGAGUUUGAUUAGGUCCCAUUUGUCUAUUUUGGCUUUUGUUGUCAAUGCUUUUGGUGUUUUGGUCAUGAAGUCCAUGCCUACUCCUAUGUCCUGAAAGGUUUUGCCUAUAUUUUCUUCUAGGGUUUUUAUGGUGCCAGGUCUUAUGUUUAAGUCUUUAAUCCAUCUGGAGUUAAUUUUACUGUAAGGUGUCAGGAAGGGGUCCAGUUUCUGCUUUCUGCACAUGGCUAGCCAGUUUUCCCAACACCAUUUAUUAAACAGGGAAUCCUUUCCCCAUUGCUUGUUUUUGUCAGGUUUAUUAAAGAUUGUAUGGUUGUAGAUAUGUUGUGUUGCCUCCGAUACCUCUGUUCUGUUCCAUUGGUCUAUAUCUCUGUUUUGGUACCAGUACCAUGCUGUUUUGAUUACUGUAGCCUUGUAGUAUAGUUUGAAGUCUGGUAGUGUGAUGCCUCCUGCUGUGUUCUUUUUGCUUAGAAUUGACUUGGCUAUGUGGGCUCUCUUUUGGUUCCAUAUGAAGUUUAAGGUGGUUUUUUCCAGUUCUGUGAAGAAGGUCAAUAGUAGCUUGAUGGGGAUAGCAUUGAAUCUCUAAAUUACUUUGGGCAGUAUGGCCAUUUUCAUGAUAUUGAUUCUUCCUAACCAUGAACAUCAAAUGUUUCUCCAUCUGUUUGUGUCCUCUCUUAUUUCAUUGAACAGUGGUUUGUAGUUCUCCUUGAAGAGGCCCUUUAUGUUCCUUGUUAGUUGUAUUCCUAGGUAUUUUAUUCUCUUUGUAGCAAUUGUGAAUGGCAGUUCAUUCUUGAUUUGACUCUCUUUCUGUUAUUGGUGUAUAGGAAUGCUUGUGAUUUUUGCACAUUGAUUUUGUAUCCUGAGACUUUGCUGAAGUUGCUUACCAGUUUCAGGAGUUUUUGGGCUGACAUGAUGGGGUCUUCUAGACAUACUAUCAUAUUGUCUGCAAAUAGAGACAAUUUGGCUUCCUCCUUUCCUAUUUGAAUACCCUUUAUUUCUUUGUCUUGCCUGAUUGCUCUGGCUAGAACUUCCAGUACUACAUUGAAUAGGAGUGGUGACAGAGGGCAUCCUUGUCUAGUGCCAGCUUUCAAAGGGAAUGCUUCCAGUUUUUGCCCAUUCAGUAUGAUAUUGGCUGUUGGUUUGUCAUAAAUAGUUUUUAUUAUUUUGUGAUACAUUCCAUCAAUGCUGAGUUUAUUGAGGGUUUUUAGCAUAAAGGGCUGUUGAAUUUUGUCAAAGGCCUUCUCUCUGCAUCAAUUGAGAUAAUUGUGUAAUUUUUGUUUUUGGUUCUGUUUAUGUGGUGAAUUACGUUUAUAGCCUUGUGUACGUUGAACCAGCCUUGCAUCCCCGGGAUGAAUCCUACUUGAUAAUGGUGGAUAAGCUUUUUGAUGUGCUGUUGCAAUCAGCUUGCCAGUAUUUUAUUGAAGACCUUUGCGUCUAUGCUCAUUAUGAAUAUUGGCCUAAAGUUUUCUUUUCUUGUUGAGUCUCUGCCGGGUUUUGGUAUCAGGAUUAUGUUGGUCUCAUAAAAUGAUUUGAGAAGGAUUCCCUCUUUUUGGAUUAUUUGGAAUAGUUUCAGAAGAAAUGGUAGCAGUUCCUCUUUGUGUGUCUGGUAGAAUGUGGCUGUUAACCCAUCUGGACCUGGGCUUUUAUUGUGUGGUAGGCUCUUGAUUGCUGCCUCAACUUCAGACCUUGUUAUUGGUCUAUUCAUAGUUUCGGCUUCCUUCUGGUUUAGGCUUGGGAGGACACAAGUGUCCAGGAAUUUAUCCAUUUCUUCCAGGUUUACUAGUUUAUGUGCAUAGAGUUGUUUGUAAUAUUCUCUGAUGAUGGUUUGAAUUUCUGUGGAAUCUGUGGUGAUUUCCCCUUUAUCAUUUUUUAUUGCAUCUAUUUGGUUAUUCUCUCUUUUCUUUUUUAUCAAUCUGGCUAGUGGUCUAUUUUGUUGAUCUUUUCAAAAAACCAGAUCUUGGAUUUAUUGAUUUUUUGAAGGGUUUUUCGUGUCUCUAUCUCCUUCAAAUCUGCUCUGAUCUUAGUUAUUUCUUGUCUUCUGCUAGGUUUUCAGUUUUUUUAUCUUGCUCCUCCAGCUCUUUCAAUUUUGAGGACAGGGUGUCAAUUUUGAAUCUCUCCACUCUUCUUAUGUGGGCACUUAUUGCUAUAUAUUUUCCUCUAGAGACUGCUGUAAAUGUGUCCCAGAGAUUCUGUAUGUUGUGUCUUCGUUCUUGUUGGUUUCACAGAACUUCUUUAUUUCUGCCUUCAUUUCAUUGUUUAUCCAGUCAACAUUCAAGAGCCAGUUGUUCAGUUUUCAUUAAGCUGUGCGGUUCUGAGUUAGUUUCUAAAUUCUGAGUUCUAACUUGAUUGCACUAUGGUCUGAGAGACUGUUUGUUAUGAUUUCAGUUGUUUUGCAUUUGCUGAGGAGUGAUUUACUUCCAAUUAUGUGGUCAGUUUUAGUGUAGGUGUGAUGUGGUGCUGAGAAGAAUGUAUAUUCUGUGGAUUUGGGGUGGAGAGUUCUGUAAAUGUUUAUCAGGUUUGCUUGUUCCAGGUCUGAGUUCAAGUUCUGGAUAUCCUUGUUAAUUUUCUGUCUGGUUGAUCUGUCUAAUAUUGACAGUGGAGUGUUAAAGUCUCCCACUAUUAUUGUGUGGGAGUCUAAGUCUCUUUGUAAGUCAUUAAGAACUUGACUUAUAUAUCUGGGUGCUCCUGUAUUGGGUCCAUAUAUAUUUAGGAUCGUUAGCUCUUCUUGUUUUAUCGAUCCUUUUACCAUUAUGUAAUGUCCUUCUUUGUCUCUUUUGAUCUUUGUUGCUUUAAAGUCUAUUUUAUCAGAGACGAGAAUUGCAACUCCUGCUUUUGUUUUUUUGCUCUCUAUUUGCUUGCUAGGUCUUCCUCCAUCCCUUUAUUUUGAGCCUUUGUGUAUCCUUGCAUGUGAGGUGGGUUUCCUGGAUACAGCACACCAAUGGGUUUUGGCUUUUUAUCCAAUUUGCCAGUCUAUGUCUUUUGAUUGGUGCAUUUAGCCCAUUUACAUUUAGGGUUAAUAUUGUUAUGUGUGAAUUUGAUACUGCCAUUUUGAUGCUAGCUGGCUGUUUUGCCUGUUAGUUGAUGCAGAUUCUUCAUUUUGUUGAUACUCUUUAGCAUUUGGUAUGUUUUUGGAAUGGCUGGUACUGGUUGUUCCUUUCUAUGUGUAGUGCCUCUUUCAGGAGCUCUUGUAAAGCAGGCCUGGUGGUGACAAAAUCUCUGAGUACUUGCUUGUUCGCAAAGGAUUUUAUUUUUCCUUCACUUCUGAAGCUCAGUUUGGCUGGAUAUGAAAUUCUGGGUUGAAAGUUCUUUUCUUUAAGGAUGUUGAAUAUUGGCCCCCACUCUAUUCUGGCUUGUAGGGUUUCUGCCGAGAGAUCUGCUGUGAGUCUGAUGGGCUUCUCUUUGUGGGUGACCCGACCUUUCUCUCUGGCUGCCCUUAGCAUUUUCUCCUUCAUUUCAACCCUGGUGAAUCUGAUGAUUAUGUGCCUUGGGGUUGCUCUUCUUGCAGAAUAUCUUUGUGGUGUUCUCUGUAUUUCCUGGACUUGAAUAUUGUAUUUCCUGGCCUGCCUUGCUAGGUUGGGGAAAUUUUCUUGGAUAAUAUCCUGAAGAGUAUUUUCCAGCUUGGAUUCAUUCUCUUUGUCACAUUCAGGUACACCUAUCAAACGUAGAUUAGGUCUCUUCACAUAGUCCCACAUUUCUUGGAGAUAUUAUUCAUUCCUUUUUGCACUUUUUUCUCUAAUCUUGGCUUCUUGUGUUAUUUCGUUGAGUUGAUCUUCAAUGUCUGAUAUCCUUUCUUCUUCUUGGUCAAUUUGGCUGUUGAAACUUGUGCAUGCUUCAUGAAGUUCUCGUGUUGUAUUUUUCAGCUCCUUCAAUUCACUCAUAUUCCUCUCUAAGUUGUCCAUUCUUGUUAUCAUUUCCUCAAAUCUUUUUUCAACAUUCUUAGUUUCUUCACAUUGAGUUAGAACGUGUUCUUUUAGCUCAGGGAAGUUUCUCAUUACCCACCUUCUGAAGUCUGAUUCUGUCAUUUCAUCACACUCAUUCUCUGUCCAGCUUUGUUCCCUUGCUGGUGAGGAGUUGUGGUCCCUUGUAGGAGGCAAGGUGUUCCAGUUUUGGGUGUUUUCCUCCUUUUUGCACUGGUUUCUUCCCAUCUUUGUGGAUUUAUCCACCUGUCUUCUAAGUAGUUGCUGACUUUCCGAUUGGGUCUCUGAGUGGACAUCCAGAUUGUUGAUGAUGAAGUAUUUCUGUUUCUUAGUUUUCCUUCUAACAGUCUAGCCCCUCUGCUGUAGGACUUCUGAGGUUCACUCCAGGCCCUGCUUGCCUGGGGAACACCUGUAGCAGCUGCGGAACAGUGAGGGUUGCUACCAAUUUCUUCUUCUGCUAUCUUUGUCCCAGAAUGAUGGCCACCAAAUGUCAGUCUGAUCAGUCCUUUGUGAGGUGACUCUUUGGAUAUAUGGGGGUCAGGGAGCUGCUUCUGGAGACAGUCUGUACUUUAUAGGAGCUCAAGUGCUGAGCUGUGAGCUCCGUUGUUCAUUCAGAGCUGCUAGGCAGGUAUGUUUAAGUCUGCUGCAGCAGAACUAAUAAAGCCCCCUUUUUUCCUCAGGUGCUCUGUCCCAGGGAGUUAGGGCUUUAUUUAUGAGUAUCCGUUGCACUGUCCUGCCCAGCAAGGAGGCAGUCUAGUCAGUGUCUGCUUGCAGAGGCUCUGCCCUGCUGCUGUGGGCUCUGCCCUGUUGCCGUGGGCUCUGCCCUGCUGUCGUGGGCUCUGCCUGCUGUUGUGGGCUCUGCCCUUCUGCCAUGGGCUCCACCCUGCUGCCAUGUGUAAUUCCCUGUAGUCCUGUUAUAUGGGUUUGGUUAGAACUGCCGUGGCGAUGGUGGCCUGCCUCUGUAAUGGCUGGCUCUCUCUGUUAUGCUGGGUUGCCUCGGCAAUGGUAGGCUGCAUCAGCAAUAGCAGAGUAUCUCUGUAGGGGUGGAGUGCCUCAGUAAUGGCAGACACCCCUCCCCCACCGAGCUGCACCGUCCUGGGUUCAGCUGUGCUUGCCGUGAAAUUCUCAACCCCGAGCAUUUCCAAUUGCUAUUUUGUUUGUUUUUGUGGGGGUGGGACCCGCCGAGCCUCAUCACCUGGCUCCCUGCCUCAGAACCCCCCUUUUUUUUAACGUUGAAUGGUUGACUCUCUCCCAGGUGUUCCAGUCAUGUGCUGAAAGGGCGCUGGGAUCUGUGUGAUUUCCCAUGCAGCGACCCACUGUGCUGGCUGAAAUAACAUCACUGCCUGGGACCCUCCCGGCCUGGCUUACUGUUUAAGUCCCGUUUCAUCAGAUGAAUGUGCUAAUCUGCCUUCCCAAAUCUCAAAUUGCUGGUUUAACAGGGCAACCAGACCAGUGUAUUUUGUAUGGAGUGCUGCUGUGCUGCAGCACUGGCCGAAACAGCUGUGUCAGCCCAAAUAGCCGCACUGGCAGCCUGUGGGGCUCCUACACUUGGGAAUCUCCUGGUCUGUGGGCAAUAAAGAUCCGUCUGGAAAUACGGCCUCCACUCAUCCUGUGUGCUUUCACUGGGAGCUGCAAUCCUGAGUUGCUCCUAUAGCACCAUCUUCUCCUCUCCCAGCUUUUCUUUUUCUUUUGUUGCUGGGGAGGGGGCUGUCACAAGGUCCAAGGUCCAGUGUCACAAGGUUGACUCAGACUUUCUGGCUCUGGGAGUCCAUCAGGAGGUAUAUGUGUGGGUCACAGGGUGACCAUGGUUUAAACAGUUCAAAGACCCUUGCAUUCUUUCCUUUUUUAUACUAAUAAUAUAAAAGUAAAAUAAAUUAAAAGUGGGGGGAGCAGUUAAAUUUUGGGGGGCUGUACAGAGGAGUAAUGGGUGACGUUUCUCAGGGCUUCUCCGAGUGGGAUUGGGGGCGGCAUGGAAACCUAAAAAUGGGAAAGAAUUUAGACUGCUGAGAGGUUUAGAGGAAAAGGUUGAUACUGCAGGUUUUUUAGGAGAAACAUUUGCCUCAUUGACUGAUUGGUUAUAGCCAGGAUACGGUUUUGUAGGAAUUAAGAUAUUAGUUGGAAAAGGCAAGGUCUGAAUAAGAGAAGGAGAAAAAUGGAUAGAAGGGGGCCUGCUAAUGGAAGUGGCCAGCUAGGUCCAGAAUAAUUAUUUGCCUGAUUAGAGUGUUUUUGGGCCCUGUCUUUAAGUUUUUUUGAUGGCAUCAUAUAGAAGGCCAGAUUGGUUUAGAUAAAAGCAGGACUCUUUAUUUAGGAAUAGGCACAAUCCUCCUUUUUCAGCUGUUAGUAGAUCAUAGCAUGGGCGAAUUUGGAGGACAGCUGCAGCCAGGGAAUUAACUUGGGCUUGGAGAAUAGACAGUGUCAGAGUUAUUUCUGAAAUGCUGGUGGAAGAAUUAUUAGAGAGACUGUGGAAUGUGGUGAUGAAAGUAGUAAGGCCUGCUAUACCUGUCCCGAUCACAGCAGUGGAGACUUAAUUCUACAAGCAAGGGGAUUAACGGAAUGACUCUUUUUUCUCAUGCAGGAGUUACGAGGGGGACAGGGAGGUGUUUAUUUAUGUUGGCAACCUGGAUUUGGGGAGUAAGGAAAAUUAGGUACAGGUGCUUAUCCAGUUGGUAGGAAGGCAGAAGAAGGUGGAAGAGCCACAGAGGAAAAAAAGUCCUUGGCUGAGGCAGAACUGGAAGUGUAGACUGAAAAGGUGAGAAACUAUUUUGGGGGGACUGGGGUCUUGUACCCAGGUACCAAUGGAAUGAGCAAGGGCUGUGGCUGUUAAAGGUUGUAGUGGGAUUUGAUAGGGUAAUUGUGUGGAAGGAGAGGUCUUGUUUUUAUGGUGUAUGAUAAAGCAUUUGUUAUCUAUGAGUAACCAUUCACUUUCAUUAACAAGGUUAGGUAUAAGCAGGCAGGAAGAGGGUUCAGGAGGAGAGUCUCAUGAACAAGGGGAGGGCAGCCAAAGAUGGAGUGAGAGACAGGGUAAAUGCCUACUGAGGCAAAACUUGAAGUUUAUUUGCCAAUCUUAUGUAGGGGAAAAUUCACGAGCCUGAUGUGUAGGACAAAAGGGGGGAGGUCUAAGAAAGCUCUGAGGAGUAGUAGAGUCACAGAACACUGACAUGUAAUUGUUUUGGGGAUGGACUUCUAUGAUAGAAAAGAAAUAAGGGAUUCUAAAAGAUGAGCCAGGGGCUUGUAUCCUGCAUGGAAAGGAUGAGAGGAUAGAGUGAGCUUGUGAGGCAGGGAGGACGAACUUCCCAUGGUGUAAGAACCAUUUGCCUUGUGUAGGAAGUGACUGGUAAAGCGAGUUUUCAGAGGAGAAUAGGUAGAUGAGAUAGAUGAGAAGGAAAAAUACUGGCCUUGUGGGAGCGAUACUAGGGUGUCCGCUGCUGCUUUGGCUGUUUUGUCACUGAAGGCAUUUCCUUGGGCAAUAGAAUCUGAUAGUUUUUGGUGUCCUCUGCAGUGGAUAACUCUGUUCUUGGCUGGGAGGAGAGUGGCCUUAAGGAGUGCUUUUAUUAAGGAGACAUUGAUAAUAGAGGACCCCUGUGUGGUGAGAAAACCUUUUUCUGCCCAUGUAACAGCAUGGUGGUGAAUGAUGUGGAAGGUGUAUUUAGAAUCAGUGUAAAUAUUAAAUGUAGUCCUUUGGUAAGAGUAAGAACACGGGUUAGGGCAAUUAGUUUAGCUUUCUGAGAAGUUGUAGAGGUGGGGAGUAUGGCAGCAUCGAUAAUAGAUGAGUGGGAUACAACAACAUAGCUAGCUUUGGCCAACUGAAUGGGCUUUGAAGAACUGCCAUCAAUAAACCAUGUGUGGUCUGGAUCGGGAAUAGGAAAAAGAGAAAUAUGGGGAAAUGGGGAGGAUGCCAUAUGGAUUAGGGAGAUAUAGUCAUGGGGUUUACGGUGUGUUGAGUGUUAAGUGAGAGUCUGGGUGAAGUCAGGUCCAAGACCAAUGGUUACUGGUGGGGUUUUAAUAAAGAAUGCAUAAGGCUGGAUGAAGGCAAGGGGCUGAAAGGAUGUGUAUGAGGUGUGAAGAGGAAACGAAACUUUGAAGUUGUGAGCGCUAUAAGAGUAAGUGAGGUGUAGCCUGUAAUUUUAAGGGAUUCUAGGAGUCUUA